rnacentral:rRNA from 1 species
GGUUGCGAUCAUACCAGCACUAAUGCACCGGAUCUCAUCAGAACUCCGCAGUUAAGCGUGCUUGGGCGAGAGUAGUACUAGGAUGGGUGACCCCCAGGGAAGUUCUCGUGUUGCAACCC